rnacentral:lncRNA from 1 species
CCAAUGGCUUGGGUUUGCUAGUUGGCACCCCUGGUGCUUCUAAACAAUAACAAUGAAAGAAAGCUAUCCGUUGGUAUAGAAACCAAUGAAAUCACUUUUUGUCAUCUCUUGGCAAGGAAAAUGAGAACAAUAAAGUUUAACUCAUAUCUCUAAUCGAACAUAACUUGACCUAAAGGAGCAAGAGAACUAAAAUCUCAAAUCCAAAUUAGACUUAUAACUCAACCCUUGCACAUUCCCUGCC